AAACAUGCAGGUAUUUUACUAUCUUUAUGGUUAUCCUAGGAACAGAAUUUUUUACACCAUAUUAUCGCAUUUGAAUCAAAGACACAUUGAAAUUACAAGCAUAAAUUUCAAAUUACUGGGGUUGACCUACAAUUACAAAUUCGACGUCUACAAAUAGAUUAUUAAACUAGUGAAUUACACAAACUUGAUAAUAACGUAAAUGGUUCACUUUCAUGGAACUCCUCCAUUUUGUUUCCUGUUAUCAGUCUUUCCUUUUCCCUUCUGAAAAGUAAAUUUGACCGAGAUAUCAACGUCCUUCUCUUCAGUUAUUUUAGCUACAUGCGUCAACAAACCCGACAACUCAUUAAUUUCUGAUGUGGCACUUGAUUGAGCCUCAUAUUGACAAUGUUCGUCUGCAUCAAGCCACUUGAAAUAAUUGCAAUCGUUAGUACAAUAGAAGAAUAGCCGUCCUAAAUUUUCCGUCCUCUUUUCAACCUCCAUGCAUUUCUAGAUUCCUUUGCCACAUAUUGGACAUGCUUUUUUCGUUGGGCAAUCCAGUAAGUAGUGGCCCGCUUUCCGACAACCAUGAUGCAUCCAUUUGUUCCUUCCCCCCCAUUAUAAUAUUCUGUUGCAACAAAAAAAUAUCAUUACAAUCAGAUCAAUAAUCAUAUGUACUCCAUAAAAUCCAGCAUACAAGAAUUUGAAGACAAUUAUUCAACCAUUAACAGUUUAAGCCUCAAUUCACUGUUCCAUAUUUCUUAUCUUCUGGUUCCAUAUUUGAAGACAAUUACUCAAACCAUUAACAAUUCUUUUUUUUUUUUUCUAAAGAUGAAUACUACCCAGUACCUCUAAAAAAUGACAAGUUGAGAGCAUAGCAAAAAUUUAUGAAUCGCUACAUUUCUCUUCGGAUCGUUGUAUGAAAUGAAUUACGUUGACUCACUCUUGUGACGAGUUGGGGAUUAUUCACGGACCUCAAUUUCUUGAUGACUCAACGAAUCUUGAUCCAGAAAAUGAUGAAAUCAAUGUAAACAAACAAACGUAAUCAACAUAACAUUUGCAACUAAAAUUACACCCGAUAUUUUAGAACGAAACAUAGGUGAAGGUUCGCUGGAAAUGAUGAGGUCACUUUUGAAAGCAACUAAAAAACCAUGAAUCAGAUGGUUUGUGCAUUUUGAUAAAUGUUUCAACGAAAUCGAAAAUAUGACAACUCUGAAAAAUUAAUAAUAUUGCCCAAAUAAACCAAAAAUUCAUUCGGGAAGAACAAAUCUCGAAGGUUCUAGAUUUCAAUUGCAUACGAUAUUUACCUUCAAUGCAGUUCAAAUCACGAUUGCGCUCCACCGAAGAGUUGAUUACUGCAUCCGGUCGGUGAAGGUGUCUUGAUUUGGAGCUCCGAUUUGGGACGAUUUGGAGAAAUGAGGGCUUCCAGUUGGAUGGGUGUUAUUUGAUUUUACGACUUGGAGAAUUAGGGAGUUAAAUUAUUUGAGUUAGGCUUGUUUCAUUUUGUGGGACAAAGAAAGGCGUGCUUCCAAUGCUGAUAUGGAUGCUUAAGUGGAAAUUCAUUUAACACUAGUAAGGAUUCAACCGGUCAGCUAGAUUUUCUGUCUG
rnacentral:lncRNA from 1 species